rnacentral:rRNA from 1 species
GACGAACGCUGGCGGCGUGCUUAACACAUGCAAGUCGAGCGGAAAGGCCCUUCGGGGUACUCGAGCGGCGAACGGGUGAGUAACACGUGAGUAACCUGCCCCAGACUUUGGGAUAACCCUCGGAAACGGGGGCUAAUACCGGAUACGACACAGCUUCGCAUGGGGUCUGUGUGGAAAGUUUUUCGGUUUGGGAUGGGCUCGCGGCCUAUCAGCUUGUUGGUGGGGUGAUGGCCUACCAAGGCGACGACGGGUAGCUGGCCUGAGAGGGCGACCGGCCACACUGGGACUGAGACACGGCCCAGACUCCUACGGGAGGCAGCAGUGGGGAAUAUUGCACAAUGGGCGGAAGCCUGAUGCAGCGACGCCGCGUGAGGGAUGACGGCCUUCGGGUUGUAAACCUCUUUCAGCAGGGACGAAGCGUAAGUGACGGUAACUGCAGAAGAAGCGCCGGCCAACUACGUG